GCUUGUCUCAAAGAUUAAGCCAUGCAUGUCUAAGUAUAAAUAGUAUACAGUGAAACUGCGAAUGGCUCAUUAAAACAGUUAUAGUUUAUUUGAUAAUUGAAAAUUACAUGGAUAACCGUGGUAAUUCUAGAGCUAAUACAUGCUAUCAAGCCCGACUUCUUGAAGGGUUGUAUUUAUUAGAUAACAGACCAAUAUUCCUCGUGUCUAUUGUGGUGAAUCAUAGUAACUGAUCGGAUCGCAUGGGCUACGCCCGCGACAAACCAUUCAAGUUUCUGCCCCAUCAGCUUUCGAUGGUAGUGUAUUGGACUACCAUGGCUUUUACGGGUAACGGAGGAUUAGGGUUCGAUUCCGGAGAGGGAGCCUGAGAAACGGCUACCACAUCUAAGGAAGGCAGCAGG
rnacentral:rRNA from 1 species